rnacentral:rRNA from 1 species
GUUAUAGGGACAAGUGAAUAAGUGCACAUGGCGGAUGCCUUGGCGAUUACAGGCGAUGAAGGACGUAGUAGCUUGCGAUAAGCUGCGGGGAGCUA